rnacentral:rRNA from 1 species
UGGGGAAUAUUGCACAAUGGGCGAAAGCCUGAUGCAGCGACGCCGCGUGAGGGAUGACGGCCUUCGGGUUGUAAACCUCUUUCAGCAGGGACGAAGCGCAAGUGACGGUACCUGCAGAAGAAGCACCGGCUAACUACGUGCCAGCAGCCGCGGUAAUACGUAGGGUGCAAGCGUUGUCCGGAAUUACUGGGCGUAAAGAGUUCGUAGGCGGUUUGUCGCGUCGUUUGUGAAAACCAGCAGCUCAACUGCUGGCUUGCAGGCGAUACGAGCAGACUUGAGUACUGCAGGGGAGACUGGAAUUCCUGGUGUAGCGGUGAAAUGCGCAGAUAUCAGGAGGAACACCGGUGGCGAAGGCGGGUCUCUGGGCAGUAACUGACGCUGAGGAACGAAAGCGUGGGUAGCGAACAGG